AUUGAACGCUGGCGGCAGGCCUAACACAUGCAAGUCGAGCGAGCGGCGGAAGGGUGCGUAAUGUAUGGGGACUGACCGAUGGAGGGGGAUAACUACUGGAAACGGUGGCUAAUACCGCAUACUAGCGGAUGACCCAUAUGGGAUUAGCUAGUAGGAGGGGUAAAGGCUCACCUAGGCGACGAUCUCUAGCUGGUCUGAGAGGAUGAUCAGCCACACUGGGACUGAGACACGGCCCAGACUCCUACGGAGGCAGCAGUGGGGAAUAUUGCACAAUGGGCGUAAGCCUGAUGCAGCCAUGCCGCGUGUAUGAAGAAGGCCUUAGGGUUGUAAAGUACUUUCAGUGGGGAGGCGUUACCCGCAGAAGAAGCACCGGCUAACUCCGUGCCAGCAGCCGCGGUAAUAC
rnacentral:rRNA from 1 species